GAUGAACGCUAGCUACAGGCUUAACACAUGCAAGUCGAGGGGUAACGAGAGGAAAGCUUGCUUUCCUUGUCGACGACCGGCGCACGGGUGAGUAACGCGUAUCCAACCUGCCCCCAACUAGGGAAUAACCUUGCGAAAGUAAGACUAAUACCCUAUAAUUUCCUCAGAUGACAUCUGACGAGGAAUAAAGAUUUAUCGGUUGUGGAUGGGGAUGCGUCUGAUUAGCUUGUUGGCGGGGUAACGGCCCACCAAGGCAACGAUCAGUAGUGGUUUUGAGAGGAAGGUCCCCCACAUUGGAACUGAGAUCCGGUCCAAACUCCUACGGGAGGCAGCAGUGGGGAAUAUUGGUCAAUGGGCGGAAGCCUGAACCGGCCAAGUAGCGUGCAGGAUGACGGCCCUAUGGGUUGUAAACUGCUUUUAUACAGGAAUAAAGUUAGCCACGUGUGGUUAUUUGUAGGUACUGUAUGAAUAAGGACCGGCUAAUUCCGUGCCAGCCGCCGCGGUAA
rnacentral:rRNA from 1 species